AAAAAUUGGGAUUUAAGAAAUCAUUUUAAAUUUGAAAAUGGUAAUUCAUAUCAUAUUUUGCGUUUUAAAAAGGCAUAGAAUAAUUGAGCAAAGUUUUUCUUGUUCUAUAUUUACUUCUCUCAUAGAACAACAUGGGUGUUGAAAAUCAUUGACCCUAAAAGUGGAAGAGCCCAGAGGCAGUGAAGUCCAUCAAAGACUCUUCAACACCAGAUUCACGUUUUGCCACUGUCCUCCGAGACAGAAAGGAAAAAGAAAGGUUCAGCCAAACACUGGCUGUUUGUCUCCGCUAUUUUCCACCGCUCUUGCCCGAUGUCUUUGUAUAUUGGCCGUCUAUCAUCUCGCACUCGUAGGGAUGAACUUGAGCGUGUUUUCCGAAGGUUUGGAAGAUGCAAUGUACGGCUGAAAGAUGGCUAUGGAUUUGUUGUAUAUGACUAUCCUCCAAAUGCAGAGAAAGCUUUGAGAGCAUUUCAGGGAAGAAAUAUCUGUGGGGAGCCAUUAACUCUCACAUGGUCAAAUAAACAGCCUAGACCUUUCAAAAAAUUUGCUAGGGCUGAUAGAUCCUAUGAGCCACUUAGAGUUAGGAGAUCUUCUAGAGGUGGAGGUCAUGGUAAUAGAAAAUUGGAUUUAAAUGUUAAGCAAGAUCACAGCAUGAAUAUUGAACAACUGGAGAGUCAUGGUGUCAGGCUUAGUUCUGCUGACUUGCUUAAUGCGGAGAUGGACUACUAUCUAGACCAUGUUAAAGUAUACACAAAGGAAGACAAUCAUGACUAUGGGGAAGAUUUGCUGAAUGGAGGCGGUCAAGUUGAACCCAGCCUGAUGGAUGGUGAUAGGUGGGAUGGGCAAUGUCAUAAUCUGUCUAUUGGUAAUGACAUUGAACAUGAAAUGGCAUUUGACCGCUACAUACGUUAUGACAAGAAAGAUGACGAUGAAAACCAUAGAAUUGUGUACGGUGGUUCUCCUGCUGCACAAAGCCCUCAAGAGAAAAUAGCUAGAGAGCUGAUUUGUGAAGGAAUUAUGAACCAUCCUGAGGAUUCAAAAGCGCAGCAAGCUUGUUACCUUUGUGGUGCUUUGGGUCACAAAAAGCAUAAUUGUUCCCGUGAAAAUACUUCAGGAAGAUAUUUCUCUGUGUUUGACAGCAGACAGGAUGAUGUUAUUAGUAGAGGAGAUAGAGGACAAGGUGGCCUGGAAAGUUUUGGAUCCAAUACUCAGGCAAAGCUGCAGCAAGAUAGGGAUCCCCUAAGAACAAAGCAAUUCAACGAUACCAGAAAAGCAUCUGGUUCUAGAAAGCGUGGGAGAUUGAUAGAGAAUGGAAGCUCCCCUAUUGCAAAGAAAACUGACAAGGCUUGGGAAAAGGACUAUGGAGGAAAGAAGCGAAGUGAGAGGAGAGGUGGAACUCCUAAAAGACAUAGUGCAAAGAAAGCAAGGCCUUCUCCACUUCAUCCUGAUUACAAUGCAUCCAGAUCAAGCUCAAAAUCUAAAUCUAUAAAGCAUAUGCAAAGGUCAAUUUCAGGGUCUAGAUCAAGAUCCAAAUCAUCCAGGGCACGCUUGUCAUCUACUGAUUUAAGGUCCAGUUCAAUAUCACAAUAUUCUAGAUCCAGAAGUUCUAAGUCUAGCUCAAGGUCAAGCUCUCCGACAUCCUUGUCUUUGUCUGUAUCCCUUGGUGGGCAUUUACCAUCAUCCUCGAACAAGGGGCACUUGAAUUUUAAAGGCACUUUGGAUAAGUCUAACUCUCCUGAAUCCAAGGAGAUUAUAGUUGGAGGAGAAUCAGCAAAAGGUGAUGUUGAAUUGGAGAAUGUAAAAUGUGAAAAUAGAAUUACUCCAGUGGCUAUUGAAAACGUUGGGUCAUCUGCCAAAGUAGAAAAUGAAGUGGAAAAGGACCAAGCCAUGCAGAGAGGUAACAGUGAUAAUCAUAUGGCACCCAGGUCAGGGUCUCAAGUAAAAAAUCCAAGCACACCACUUUCAGAGAAAGCUCCAAUUUCUGCUGGAAGUUUGUCUCCCGAGAACUUGAGAGAGAUCAAGGGCAGUCGAGAUUUUGAUGCACUGACAACUGAGGAUGUGAUAGUACCACAUAUAAAAAAUGAUUCAGAGCUUACCUCCAGCCUUUCAACAAACAUAUCUCCUGAGGAGUUGUGCAUGGUCAUGAAGCAUUAUGGCCUAGAACCUCCAGAUGAAAAUGGAAGACAUCUAUCUGCAGAAGCUUACUUUGGUUCUGCUCGCUUGUGGCCUUGGGAGAUUGUCUAUUAUAGGAGGUUAAAGAAAGGUCCUAUUUCAACUGAGAACUAUGCCAGGCGAGUUGCACAAAAUAAAGAAUUUGGUAUUGUUGACAAGUAUAUCAGAAGCAGUAGUGGUUGGGGAGAACUGAAUCACCCAUGAUAAGCUUUGUAAAUGUUGUGACAGCUUAUUUUAUCUUCUCAGGGAGCAUUUGGGCCCUAUUUUAUAGUAUGGUGUGGGAUUUUGCAAGAUAAAAAUCUGAAUCUGAACAGACAAAGCUAAUAUGAUUCUAAAGACAAAUAUGCGAUCAGGACAAUGUGAGAUGUAAGAUCUGAUGACAAGCUGAAUAGCAUCCAGAUUGAAACAUUUUCGUAGAUUGAUCUGAAGUCAAAUGAGUAAGCAGGUCUUCAAAAGAAAAGAGUUAUAUAUGGCCUGUUCCUUGAUCCUUUGCAGGUUUUUAUUUAAUACACUUCAAUUAGGUUAACAGAGUCAAGCAAUAUUCAAAUAAGCUCUAGUAAACAUGAAUCAUAUGGGUUCAUUGAAUUGGGUUGCAAACCAGUGUCACAGUCUUCCUCUCAAAAGUUUUCUCAUUUCUGAAAUUCAUAAUAGUGUUGAUAAAUGUUGUUUCAUAUGUGUGAUUAAGGAGCAGCAGAUUCCCAUAAAAUGUGAAAAUCAUAUCUGACAAUGGUCUGUCAGAUCUUGUCUUGCAAAAGUUUGACUAGGUUGUUCUCACUAGCAGCCCAAAGUCAUGUUAUUAUGAAAUAAUCUAUUGACUUUGAAUAAACCACUUGAUAACAUGUUUACCAUUUGGCAGAUUUUCUCUUGUGAAUUUGAACUAUUUGGUAAUUGGCAUCAAAUGCAUGGAUAAUGGGGGAAAAAGCAAUUCAAUGCAUUAUCAAUCUAUUCUAGAAAUAUAUAUAUUUUUAAUUUGCUAUUUUCUUGGGAAUGAAAAUUGAUAUCUGGGAUUCUGGCUGGUGUUAAGGUGAUCCAAGAGGAUUUCUCAUAUCAGAGAAACAUUUGAAAGUUUGAAUGACUUUUCUUGUUUAGCCAAUGAAACAUUGGAUAAAUUGUUUACAAUUCUGUUAAGUAAAUAGUUUGUGUGAUAUUUUAAUGAGUCUAUUGAUUGCAUGUUAUUUCAAAAGUUGUGAGGAAUUUGGUGGGAAUCCUUUUAGUAGUAUGCAGGCUGGCUGUUUGCUGAAGCAGAAAGAAAGCAAUGGGUUAACUUUCAUCCAUCAUCUUCCUAUCUUCAUUUUUUCAAAUCUAACUGAUGUUGAUAUUUAUUUACUGGUCUCGUUGUGAUUUAUGUUGUAAAUUGGCUCUAAAUAUAAUGACUUGAGAAUUUCAUGUGCCCUUUCGCCAGUAAAAUGUUUUGACAUUUUUGUCAGUUAAUGUGCUUACUGGGCAUAGAUGGUAGGUUUUUCCUCUACUGUAUAUAAGUGGAGACUUGAUGCCUUGAUGGUUUGGUCGUGUACUCUUAUACAUUGGAUUCAACUGUUAGCUUGCGCUUAGCAUUCAAUCUCUUCCAAUAUAUUCUAAAAAUAGUCUCGAUAAAUUGGUUUCGCUAUUAAACCAAGUUAAUUAUAGUUUUUUAUACAAGGGAUAAAUGCAAAUACACGUUGAAAACAAGGUGAGUAGCUUGUUAUGAUGUAGCUGAUAAUGAUUUAUUAUUAAAGGAUGG